GAGAGAUGAGAGGUGUGCAGGAGUCAUCAAGAAUCAUGGGAAGAUGAGGCUCAGGACAAAGCUGUGUGGAAGGCAGCACUGAGGGUCCAUGAUGGAAGGGCUGUGGCUGGGAGACAAGUCAGCAAUCCUUGCUGCUCUGUUUCAUUGUCUGUGCAUGUGGAUGGGGAGGCAGGGGGCAGGAUUAACCUGGUGGUGGGUGUUGCUUGCCAAAGGAAGACUGUGAAGCCUAAUAGUGGCAAGGGAGCUGAGGAUUAAUACACAAAGACAAUCAUAAUAAUAGUUAUGAAAGGGUCAUCAUACCAGAGAUGUCACCUCAUCCCAUGAAACGUUACUUGCAUCAGCUCAGCAUACAGCACUGUACAAGAGGACCAGCUGAGUUCCCACCCCUGGGCUGGUCACCUCAGCUAUGGUCCCAAAGGAAUUCUGAAAAAAAAAUGUGACUAGUUCAUACAUUUAAGUUAAUAUGUAAAAUUGCUCAUCCUAAAUUAAAAUAGUUCCUAAGAAUGUAA